CGCAGAGGACCCAUCUCGAAACGUGGGAAACCAGCGCUGCUAUUUUUAGGAAAAGGGUGGAGAAUGGAGGAUGGACCAGCCCAGGAGAAGGCACAGCCAUCAGCCACUUCACCCAGUAGCUGAGCCACUCACGGCCCCGUCUGCGAUGAAGACAGAAGGCCCCAUCAGAGAAGCUACGCACCUCACCGAGGUGCCCCCUGCCCCCGCGAUCCACACUGCCAAACAAAUACAGACAUCUACUGUCGUUUUUAAAUAAGGCUCAGCUUCUGUCCCUGGGCCCUGCCCUGGUCCUCUGCAGAAUCAUCUACUUGCAUCCGAAGCAGUUCCUACGAAGGGGUAACGUACAUGUUAUUUGCAUGUGCUUCCUCUCUGGUCUCUUCUGCCUGGUCCCAUUAUGGCCCCAGGACACACACUGGACACGGGCAGGGGGAGGGGGACUUGGGUGAGGAUGGGAG
rnacentral:lncRNA from 1 species